rnacentral:rRNA from 1 species
GUCGAGCGGCAGCGACACAUUGAACCUUCGGGGGAUUUGUUGGCCGUUGAGCGGCGGACGGGUGAGUAAUGCCUGGGAAAUUGCCCUGGUGUGGGGGAUAACCAUUGGAAACGAUGGCUAAUACCGCAUGAUAGCUUCGGCUCAAAGAGGGGGACCUUCGGGCCUCUCGCGUCAGGAUAUGCCCAGGUGGGAUUAGCUAGUUGGUGAGGUAAGGGCUCACCAAGGCGACGAUCCCUAGCUGGUCUGAGAGGAUGAUCAGCCACACUGGAACUGAGACACGGUCCAGACUCCUACGGGAGGCAGCAGUGGGGAAUAUUGCACAAUGGGCGCAAGCCUGAUGCAGCCAUGCCGCGUGUAUGAAGAAGGCCUUCGGGUUGUAAAGUACUUUCAGCAGUGAGGAAGGAGGUAUCGUUAAUAGCGGUAUCUUUUGACGUUAGCUGCAGAAGAAGCACCGGUUAACUCCGUGCCAGCAGCCGCGGUAAUACGGAGGGUGCGAGCGUUAAUCGGAAUUACUGGGCGUAAAGCGCAUGCAGGUGGUUUGUUAAGUCAGAUGUGAAAGCCCGGGGCUCAACCUCGGAAUUGCAUUUGAAACUGGCAGGCUAGAGUACU